rnacentral:lncRNA from 10 species
AAUCAGAUAUGCAUUUGUCUCAGGUGAGCAGAGGGAGGACUUUCUGUCCUGCACCUGUGAAGAGAAUUUCCCUAGGUCAAAUGGCACCCAGAAACUGCCUCCUCUACCUUGAAAGCUACACUGUCUUAACCUUGACCAAUGGCUGACUGAUGUGGGAAUCCAAAAGUCCUCCUCCUUGUCUCAAGAGUUUUACUGUAAUUAUAAAUUUAAAAAUGGGGAAGCUGUAUCAGUGUUCUCAGAACUGUCCAAGUGGCAUCGUGGUAUGGAAUUUUCUCCUUUCUACAUUCUAUUCUUGCCAAAGACAUCUGUUCAGAGUCUACAAGUGACUGUG